rnacentral:rRNA from 1 species
UACGUAGGGUGCAAGCGUUAAUCGGAAUUACUGGGCGUAAAGCGUGCGCAGGCGGUUCGGAAAGAAAGAUGUGAAAUCCCAGGGCUUAACCUUGGAACUGCAUUUUUAACUACCGGGCUAGAGUGUGUCAGAGGGAGGUGGAAUUCCGCGUGUAGCAGUGAAAUGCGUAGAUAUGCGGAGGAACACCGAUGGCGAAGGCAGCCUCCUGGGAUAACACUGACGCUCAUGCACGAAAGCGUGGGGAGCAAACA